rnacentral:rRNA from 1 species
AUACGGAGGGUGCAAGCGUUAAUCGGAAUUACUGGGCGUAAAGCGUACGUAGGCGGUUUAUUAAGUCAGAUGUGAAAGCCCCGGGCUUAACCUGGGAACUGCAUUUGAAACUAGUAGACUAGAGUAUGGUAGAGGGGGGUAGAAUUCCUAGUGUAGCGGUGAAAUGCGUAGAUAUUAGGAGGAAUACCAGUGGCGAAGGCGGCCCCCUGGACCAAUACUGACGCUGAGGUACGAAAGCGUGGGGAGCGAACAGGAUUAGAAACCCCAGUAGUCCC